rnacentral:misc_RNA from 1 species
UAAUAAUCUAUCAUUUAAAGACUUAUACAAUUUUCUGUAUUAUAAUGACAGCCAAACAAACAUCAAAUAAAAAAAGAAAAUAUAAGGUUAGAAUAUUCAUGAAUGCAUGAAUUCUGAAGCUUCGUGCGUAUAUUCUGCUACUGUUCUACGAAUUUCACAUUAUAUAAUUCAUAUCCUUUUAUCUAAAGGUUGAAUUGAAAGGGUCAG